UAAAGAGCUCGUAGGUGGUUUGUCGCGUUGUUCGUGAAAUCUCACGGCUUAACUGUGAGCGUGCGGGCGAUACGGGCAGACUUGAGUACUGCAGGGGAGACUGGAAUUCCUGGUGUAGCGGUGGAAUGCGCAGAUAUCAGGAGGAACACCGGUGGCGAAGGCGGGUCUCCGGGCAGUAACUGACGCUGAGGAGCGAAAGCGUGGGGAGCGAACAGGAUUAGAUACCCUGGUAGUCCACGCCGUAAACGGUGGGUACUAAGUGUGGGUUUCCUUCCUUGGGAUCCGUGCCGUAGCUAACGCAUUAAGUACCCCGCCUGGGGAGUACGGCCGCAAGGCUAAAACUCAAAGAAAUUGACGGGGGCCCGCACAAGCGGCGGAGCAUGUGGAUUAAUUCGAUGCAACGCGAAGAACCUUACCUGGGUUUGACAUGCACAGGACGCCGGCAGAGAUGUCGGUUCCCUUGUGGCCUGUGUGCAGGUGGUGCAUGGCUGUCGUCAGCUCGUGUCGUGAGAUGUUGGGUUAAGUCCCGCAACGAGCGCAACCCUUGUCUCAUGUUGCCAGCGGGUAAUGCCGGGGACUCGUGAGAGACUGCCGGGGUCAACUCGGAGGAAGGUGGGGAUGACGUCAAGUCAUCAUGCCCCUUAUGUCCAGGGCUUCACACAUGCUACAAUGGCCGGUACAAAGGGCUGCGAUGCCGCGAGGUUAAGCGAAUCCUUUUAAAGCCGGUCUCAGUUCGGAUCGGGGUCUGCAACUCGACCCCGUGAAGUCGGAGUCGCUAGUA
rnacentral:rRNA from 1 species